rfam:Tyto alba contig33479, whole genome shotgun sequence.
UCUGGCAAUGAUGACACACUUGCCCUCACUGAGAACACUGUUCAAUAAUGAGCUUCACCAUGUGUUCAAAUGAGCUGAGCCAGA